AACCAACCAGCGUGGUGCGCGGGUGUGUGCGCGUUGGUGCUCCGGCCCCGCGGGAAAAUAAAAUGCUUCUACGGGAUUACAAUGACUUGUGUUACUUCAAUUAGACCAUAGCAUUUGAAAAGGUAUAAAUUAUGUUUUUUGGUACAAUGUGCUGCCAUGGCCAUUUUGUAUCCAUAAUGAACGAUAAGGAAUAAGUGACUAGGUGGUGCGCGGAUUAAGGACAUGCAACCAUGAAUAUGUACAAAGAAAGAGUCAGGGGACAGAAUGUUUUGAACAAAUUGCAAAGUCCCUCCAAGAAGGUGGUUGGCAAGCCAGCGCCCUUGAAGUCCAAGGCGGCGUCGCUGUUUAAGCUGGUCACCGUGGAGUUCUGUGACUACACGGGGUCUUUCACCGUGGUGGGGCCCGACCAGGCUAGCCGAGCUGAAUACGUCAGGACACAGCUCAAACAGAUGAGGGUA
rnacentral:lncRNA from 1 species